CAGUCGUACCGGCGGGUAAUCAGCCUUUUGGGUGCGAUUAUGUGGAGCGUGAGGAGUUAAUCACCCUCAUCUUUGCAUAUUUGUGCACUUUGGGUGUACUUGGACGUGCGGUAGGUUAACAUCAAUUUCGGACGUCAUAAAAUGGCUGGAGGAAUGUAGCUUCGGUCUCGUAUUGAAGUGUUAUAGCCUUCGGUAGAUGUGAUGAUUGGGAUUGAGGAUUGCAACGGAUACCCUUCGGGGCUACCUGUCUGAUCUCUGAAAGUUGCUCUGGUGCCGGAAGCUUGCUUACGGUAUUAAAGUUGACGUUCAACAGGUUAGAACGGGAUAAA
rnacentral:rRNA from 1 species